AUUACCGAGUUUUCAACUCCCUAACCCUUCUGUGAACCUACCUAUCGUUGCUUCGGCGGACUCGCCCCAGCCCGGACGCGGACUGGACCAGCGGCCCGCCGGGGACCUCAAACUCUUGUAUUCCAGCAUCUUCUGAAUACGCCGCAAGGCAAAACAAAUGAAUCAAAACUUUCAACAACGGAUCUCUUGGCUCUGGCAUCGAUGAAGAACGCAGCGAAAUGCGAUAAGUAAUGUGAAUUGCAGAAUCCAGUGAAUCAUCGAAUCUUUGAACGCACAUUGCGCCCGCCAGCAUUCUGGCGGGCAUGCCUGUUCGAGCGUCAUUUCAACCCUCGACCUCCCCUGGGGGAGGUCGGCGUUGGGGACCGGCAGCACACCGCCGGCCCUGAAAUGGAGUGGCGGCCCGUCCGCGGCGACCUCUGCGUAGUAAUACAGCUCGCACCGGAACCCCGACGCGGCCACGCCGUAAAACACCCAACUUCUGAACGUUGACCUCGAAUCAGGUAGGACUACCCGCUGAACUUAAGCAUAUCAAA
rnacentral:rRNA from 1 species